CUUCAAAAGUUUGCAAAUUUUGUACACUUUUGUAUUGCAAUUUUCGCAUGCAAUACAAAAGUAUACAAAAUUUGCAAACUUUGCAAAGCUAU
rnacentral:miRNA from 1 species